rnacentral:rRNA from 1 species
CCCAGCACCGAAGCCUGCGGCAGUUUUGCUGUUAGGCAAUGUGGUGUUUGGGUCGGCUCGCGGGAUUGCCACUCCACUCGAAGUCCAGCAUUGAGUAUGGUCACUGGAAUUGGCCCAGAGAGGGUGAAAGGCCCGUACGGGUGGAGGUUCAGAAAUGUAAGGCAAUUCACCAGGCCGGCCUUAGAGUCGGGUUGUUUGAGAAUGCAGCCCAAAGAGGGUGGUAAACUCCAUCCAAGGCUAAAUACAAGCACGAGUCCGAUAGCGAACAAGUACCGUGAGGGAAAGUUGAAAAGUACUUUGAAGAGAGAGUAAACAGUACGUGAAACCGCAUGCAGGUAAACGGGUGGCGUCAAGCUGCGAACCCAGAGGAUUCAGCUGACUAGGAUGUUGUGAUGUGCCUGGCGCAUCCAUCAGUCGGAAUAAGAUGUGAUAGUCCACUGGGAGACGGUGGGCCCGGCCGCAAGGUUGGGAUAUGUGUACCGGGUGUUAGCCGGAGCAUGCUAUUCAUCUGUUGGGCUGUCUAGUCAGUGCAUUUUCUCUGUGGUGAACACCACGACCGGUGGAAUUGCCAGUCUGCUGUAGUCGAUUCUUGCUGAGAGGGUCCUUGUGGCCAACUUGGUGAGAUCACAGGCAAUGUCAGUGUACGGCGUGGGAGUGCCUUUGGUGUUCCUACGUGUUAUCGGGUGCUGCUUGUCAACGGGCCUGCUCGGUAGUUGUUGUAACUGCUGCUGGGUGGUCUGGUGGGCUAUGGUGGUAAGAAAAACUGUGCAAGGCACCGGAGAUGUCGGCCCCAAGAGCUCUCUAUGCUGACACGUUACAAGUGUGAGGGGGUGCCAUUGCAGUUUGCCUGUUGUUGAGUCUGAUUGUCGUGUCGCCUGCGCAAAGUGGGCCCGGCAGUGGCUUGAUGCAGGAUGGGCUGUGGAUGGUGUCUCUCAGGUGUAGAGGGCAGUGGGCCCAAUAGUCAGUGGUGCUGUGGUAGACGAGCUACCCGACCCGUCUUGAAACACGGACCAAGGAGUUUAACAUGUAUGCGAGUCAAAGGGCCCUACGAAACCCCAAGGCGCAAUGAAAGUAAAGCUUCGACUUGUUCUCGGAGUGAGGUGAGAUCCUGCCGUAACUCGCAUCGCUUGGUGCCAGCAUCAGGCAAAGAGCGGUAGGCGCAUCACCGGCCCGUCCCAUGAUGUGGUCAUUGGA